rnacentral:rRNA from 1 species
UACGAAGGGGGCUAGCGUUGCUCGGAAUCACUGGGCGUAAAGGGUGCGUAGGCGGGUUUUUAAGUCAGGGGUGAAAUCCUGGAGCUCAACUCCAGAACUGCCUUUGAUACUGAAGAUCUCGAGUCCGGGAGAGGUGAGUUGAACUGCGAGUGUAGAGGUGAAAUUCGUAGAUAUUCGCAAGAACACCAGUGGCGAAGGCGGCUCACUGGCCCGGUACUGACGCUGAGGCACGAAAGCGUGGGGAGCAAACAGG